rnacentral:rRNA from 1 species
AUUGAACGCUGGCGGCAGGCCUAACACAUGCAAGUCGAGCGGAGCGGCGGACGGGUGAGUAAUGCCUAGGAAUCUGCCUGGGAGUGGGGGAUAACGUCCGGGAACGGGCGCUAAUACCGCAUACUAUCAUAUGCGCCUAUGUCGGAUUAGCUAGUUGGUGGGGGAAAGGCCUACCAAGUCGACGAUCCGUAACUGGUCUGAGAGGAUGAUCAGUCACACUGGAACUGAGACACGGUCCAGACUCCGACGGGAGGAAGCAGUGGGGAAUAGUGGACAAUGGGCGAAAGCCUGAUCCAGCCCUGCCGCGUGUGUGAAGAAGUUCUUCGGAUUGUAAAGCACGUUAAGUUGGGAGGCGUUACCAACAGAAUAAGCACCGGCUAACUUCGUGCCAGCAGCCGCGGUAAUUC